rnacentral:rRNA from 1 species
UACGUAGGGCGCAAGCGUUGUCCGGAAUUAUUGGGCGUAAAGAGCUCGUAGGCGGUUUGUCGCGUCUGCUGUGAAAACCUAAGGCUCAACCUUGGGCUUGCAGUGGGUACGGGCAGACUAGAGUGCGGUAGGGGUGACUGGAAUUCUCGGUGUAGCGGUGAAAUGCGUAGAUAUCGAGAGGAACACCUGCGGCGAAGGCGGGUUGCUGGGCUGACACUGACGCUGAUGCGCGACAGCAUGGGGAGCAAACAGG